rnacentral:rRNA from 1 species
AACGCGAAGAACCUUACCUGGCCUUGACAUGUCGAGAACUUUCCAGAGAUGGAUUGGUGCCUUCGGGGAACACCGAACACAGGUGCUGCAUGGCUGUCGUCAGCUCGUGUCGUGAGAUGUUGGGUUAAGUCCCGCAACGAGCGCAACCCUUGUCCUUAGUUGCCAGCACGUAAUGGUGGGAACUCUAAGGAGACUGCCGGAGACAAACCGGAGGAAGGUGGGGAUGACCGCAAGUCAUCAUGGCCCUUACGGCCUGGGCUACACACGUACUACAAUGGUCGGGACACAGGGCUGCAAGCCGGCGAAGGUGAGCUAAUCCCACAAACCCUAUCUCAGUCCGGAUCGCAGUCUGCAACUCGACUGCGUGAAGUCGGAAUCGCUAGUAAUCGCAGAUCAGCAUUGCUGCGGUGAAUACGUUCCCGGGCCUUGUACACAC